rnacentral:rRNA from 1 species
AGUGAACGCUGGCGGUAGGCCUAACACAUGCAAGUCGAACGGCAGCACAGUAAGAGCUUGCUCUUACGGGUGGCGAGUGGCGGACGUGUGAGGAAUACAUCGGAAUCUACUUUUUCGUGGGGGAUAACGUAGGGAAACUUACGCUAAUACCGCAUACGACCUACGGGUGAAAGCAGGGGAUCUUCGGACCUUGCGCGAUUGAAUGAGCCGAUGUCGGAUUAGCUAGUUGGCGGCGUAAAGGCCCACCAAGGCGACGAUCCGUAGCUGGUCUGAGAGGAUGAUCAGCCACACUGGAACUGAGACACGGUCCAGACUCCUACGGGAGGCAGCAGUGGGGAAUAUUGGACAAUGGGCGAAAGCCUGAUCCAGCCAUACCGCGUGGGUGAAGAAGGCCUUCGGGUUGUAAAGCCCUUUUGUUGGGAAAGAAAAGCAGCAGGUUAAUACCCCGCUGUUCUGACGGUACCCAAAGAAUAAGCACCGGCUAACUUCGUG